rnacentral:rRNA from 1 species
ACGUAGGGUGCGAGCGUUGUCCGGAAUUAUUGGGCGUAAAGAGCGCGUAGGCGGUAAUUCACGUCAGAUGUGAAAUACUAGGGCUCAACCAGAGACCAGCAGCUGAUACGGGAUAACUUGAGUACUACAGGGGAGACUGGAAUUCCUGGUGUAGCGGUGGAAUGCGUAGAUAUCAGGAAGAACACCGAUGGCGAAGGCAGGUCUCUGGGUAGUAACUGACGCUGAGGAGCGAAAGCAUGGGUAGCAAACAG